UUGCGGAUAGCCUUUGAUUUAC
rnacentral:siRNA from 1 species